rnacentral:rRNA from 1 species
AAUCCGUCGAGCUAAGCUGAGGUGUGAUGGGGAGCCAUUUAUGGCGAAGUAUCUGAUUCCACACUGCCAAGAAAAGCCUCUAUCGAGUGAAUAGGUGCCCGUACCGCAAACCGACACAGGUAGGUGAGGAGAGAAUCCUAAGGCCAUCGGAAGAAUUGCUGUUAAGGAACUCGGCAAAUUGACCCCGUAACUUCGGGAGAAGGGGUGCCUACGAAAGUAGGCCGCAGAGAAUAGGCCCAAGCAACUGUUUAGCAAAAACACAGGUCUCUGCUAAAGCGAAAGCUGAUGUAUAGGGGCUGACGCCUGCCCGGUGCUGGAAGGUUAAGGGGAACACUUAGCGUAAGCGAAGGUGUGAACUUAAGCCCCAGUAAACGGCGGCCGUAACUAUAACGGUCCUAAGGUAGCGAAAUUCCUUGUCGGGUAAGUUCCGACCCGCACGAAUGGCGUAAUGAUUUGGGCACUGUCUCAACAGCAAAUCCGGCGAAAUUGUAGUGCAAGUGAAGAUGCUUGCUACCCGCGAUUGGACGGAAAGAC